rnacentral:rRNA from 1 species
AGAGUUUGAUCAUGGCUCAGAUUGAACGCUGGCGGAAUGCUUUACACAUGCAAGUCGAACGGUAGAGGGGGCAACCCCUCGAGAGUGGCGAACGGGUGAGUAAUAUAUCGGAACGUGCCCAGUCGUGGGGGAUAACGUAGCGAAAGUUACGCUAAUACCGCAUACGAUCUACGGAUGAAAGCGGGGGAUCGCAAGACCUCGCGCGAUUGGAGCGGCCGAUAUCAGAUUAGGUAGUUGGUGGGGUAAAGGCUCACCAAGCCAACGAUCUGUAGCUGGUCUGAGAGGACGACCAGCCACACUGGAACUGAGACACGGUCCAGACUCCUACGGGAGGCAGCAGUGGGGAAUUUUGGACAAUGGACGCAAGUCUGAUCCAGCCAUUCCGCGUGCAGGAUGAAGGCCCUCGGGUUGUAAACUGCUUUUGUACGGAACGAAAAGGUUUCCAUUAAUACUGGGAGCUCAUGACGGUACCGUAAGAAUAAGCACCGGCUAACUACGUGCCAGCAGCCGCGGUAAUACGUAGGGUGCAAGCGUUAAUCGGAAUUACUGGGCGUAAAGCGUGCGCAGGCGGUUAUGUAAGACAGAGGUGAAAUCCCCGGGCUCAACCUGGGAACUGCCUUUGUGACUGCAUAGCUAGAGUACGGUAGAGGGGGAUGGAAUUCCGCGUGUAGCAGUGAAAUGCGUAGAUAUGCGGAGGAACACCGAUGGCGAAGGCAAUCCCCUGGACCUGUACUGACGCUCAUGCACGAAAGCGUGGGGAGCAAACAGGAUUAGAUACCCUGGUAGUCCACGCCCUAAACGAUGUCAACUGGUUGUUGGGUCUUCACUGACUCAGUAACGAAGCUAACGCGUGAAGUUGACCGCCUGGGG